CGACCAGUUACUACCAUGAGGAGGCACAAUACAAUACACAAAUCAUCCAUAGAGAGCUCUACCAAACCCCCCAGCCCUGGGAAAGAAGUAUGAAAAAUACUAGGAGCCCCUAACCUACAACCCUGAUACUAGACCUCCAGACUCUCCUAUCAAGGUCCACGUCCUCGGAAAUUUGCAUUCUAGCCAUGUCCUGCCUGAUCACCUCUCCCCCAAUACCUCUUGGGCCUCCCUCUGCCUUAACUCGCGCCAAACACCGCCAGCCAAAGGGUCAAUGUCCUCGGAAAUCCGCAUUCAGCCAUGUCUUGCAUGAUCACCUCUUCCCAAUAUCUCUUGG
rnacentral:lncRNA from 1 species